GAUGGUUACUUUUCGAUUAUAGACUUUCAAUAGAAAUCUGUUGAAAAAAUAUACCUACACAUACACAUACAUAUUUGCAUACAAUACAACUACACACAUUCGCCUUCAUGGUAACUCUUGCGAGUAUUGUGGUAUUUUUUUAGUAUAUUACUGGAAAAAAUAUUCUACUAUUAUUAUAAAAUUCCAUUUUGAAUGUCUAUAAUCAAUAAAUAUUGUUAUAUACUGUUACGAGCGGGUUUAGAAUUGAUAAGUCAUUACUAUACAUCAAAACUGUUUUGACUAUAAAUAUUGGAUAUGUUUUUGUCUUAGACUCAGGUCACUUGGACUGAGAGAAUGUGACUCGUAAGUAUUCCAGAUUAUUUAAAUUUUGGUGGUGUCAGGGAAGUUUUCAGGAAAACUCGUAAGUAUUCCAGAUUAUUUAAAUUUUGGUGGUGUCAGGGAAGUUUUCAGGAAAACUGUUCCUUAGUGGUAACGAAUAUUGCAGAUGAUUGCAUCUUAAAGUGCGACUUUUGUGAAAGAUAGAUUUGAUGGAGCUAUUGUGGUGCGUUGUAUUACAAAGUUCGGGUUCAGUAGUGAGGGUUUCAUGAGAAUUGAUUAAUAGUUUGAAUAACGUGCUUAAGGAAAAUUCUAGGAAUUUAUCGAUGGAACAAGAAAAGGAUUUCCCAAAAUUCUUUCAAGAAUUUUCAAAAGAAUUCGUAAGAAAUUGCGGAACUCUUGAACAUAUCAUAGACCUAACCGAUUCUCUAUAAAGUGAGUUCCUUGGAGGAUUUUUCAUUUGAAAGGAAAAAAGAGAAAGUUGACGAUACGCGUUUGGGAGUUGUUAAGAAUCCAAAAAAUUAGGUCGACGGCGUUAUAUCUGCAACAAGACGGACUUGAUUGAUCAUCUGGCAAAAUUCGUUAGGACCAGAAAGAUUAGGAUCAGUGGAUUUUAUUGUGUUAUUUAAUUUAUAGAUCGGCAAGGCAUAAGAUUUCAGCAAAAAUGUUAACUAGAAAUAACUUAAAAAUGCUAUUAGAUUUUCUUUGUUGUCCAUCCGUAUAGAAAACGGAGAUACACAUUAAAUCUUAUGUCCCGAAGCUUAAUACGAAGCUAGACGAAAUCCAUAGAACCAUAAAGAAGCGGAUAGAGAUGAAGUUUUGCAGCAUGAAUGCUUAGUAUAAUCUUAGAGUAAGGAAGAAAAGAUCAGAAGAAAAGAUCAGAAGAUAUGUUCAACUCUCAAUACAGAAGAGGCAGAACGAAGAAGCUCAAGAGCAAUUGGGAAAGCCCACAUAAAAUUAUGAGGAAAAACAACGAUUUGGUGUACACUUCGAGGAAAAACCUUCAAGAAAGAAAUAAGAAAAUCUUUAAGAAAGAAAAAGAAAAUUGAUCAUGUAGAUAGUCUAACGUUAAUAAAGGAACUAGAUAAAACGGUAGAAAAACGUAAGGACAAAUCUACGAGUGAUUAACACUUUUGCAUGAAUGAAGCGUCACAUGUUCUGACUUAAAUGUCUUCUCUAUCAGGGAUGGAAUCUGCCCUUAGUAGUUCCGAUCGUUUCGGUAGAUGAGAGAUAGCAGAACAAAGUGGAGGAAUAGAUUUUUUCUUCUUUAGAAAAAAAUUCUCUUGGUGCGAAAUUAUCCGUUGCGAAAAGCUUUCUGAGGCAAAGAAAUUUUGAAGUCUUGACCGAGUUGGGUAAUUUAUACGAAGAAGAAAUUUGUCUCAGGAUCAAACAUUCGAAGAAAGAAGGAAAAGGAAAGAGCACUCAAUUGGAUACUGCAAAUUCCUUGGGAUUUUUUAGGCCAUAAUUUUCUUUCCGAGCGAAGCGGAUUCAUGCUACGGAUGAAUGCUAAAUUGCUCAUCAGUUGGGAAAUGAUCACGGCAGUCUACCAUCUCCUCAUACCAAUGGUAUUCCAAAUGAUGAAAAAAAUAAGAGGGAAAGAGCCUAAAAAAGGACCUCUGCCUGAGAUAAAGCUAAGAGACGAAUUUUGCCGAGAUAAAGUUAAGGGACGAAUUUUACCGAAGUCCUUGAUGACUUGGUUAUUAGGACAAAGAAAUUUGAAGUACGAAUGAUUUAGCAAAUAAGCAGGUGUUGACAAUGAGGAAUCUUAGAGCCCAAGGUUUGAGAUAUGGAGAAGUUAGCACAAAACCUCUUAGUGAAAACUCUUAUUGCAAUUUUUGGUGUGAAAAGGAACAUAAUAAUUGACUCCAACAUUCGAGAAGGAUUUAGUCUUAUUCACAUGAAUCUUGACCCUGAAUGUAAAUAAGAGGAGAUUUAUUUUCUUUAUUUGUUUUGGUGUUACCUGUUGGUGUAGCAUCGGUUUCAGAGAGGAUACCAUAUUAUGAGUUGUGUGUCGGUAUAUCCUGUAGCCACAUUUCGAAUUGAUGUGUGUGAAUUUGACAUAUUUGUAAUUGUAUUAGAUUUGCUAUAUUUUGCUAAUAAAUAGAGACUCAGUUCAGUA